rnacentral:rRNA from 1 species
UACGAAGGGGGCUAGCGUUGUUCGGAAUCACUGGGCGUAAAGCGCACGUAGGCGGAUCUUUAAGUCAGGGGUGAAAUCCCAAGGCUCAACCUUGGAACUGCCUUUGAUACUGGGGAUCUUGAGUCCGGGAGAGGUGGGUGGAACUGCGAGUGUAGAGGUGAAAUUCGUAGAUAUUCGCAAGAACACCGGUGGCGAAGGCGGCCCGACUGGCCCGGUAC